rnacentral:rRNA from 1 species
GGACGAACGCUGGCGGCGUGCUUAACACAUGCAAGUCGAGCGGUAAGGCCCUUUCGGGGUACACGAGCGGCGAACGGGUGAGUAACACGUGGGUGACCUGCCCUCAGCUCUGGGAUAAGCCCUGGGAAACCGGGUCUAAUACUGGAUAUGACUCCAUGACGCAUGUUGUGGGGUGGAAAGCCUUGUGCGGCUGAGGAUGGGCCCGCGGCCUAUCAGCUUGUUGGUGGGGUGANGGCCUACCAAGGCGACGACGGGUANCCGGCCUGAGAGGGCGACCGGCCACACUGGGACUGAGACACGGCCCAGACUCCUACGGGAGGCAGCAGUGGGGAAUCUUGCGCAAUGGGCGAAAGCCUGACGCAGCGACGCCGCGUGA